UACGUAGGGGGCAAGCGUUGUCCGGAUUUAUUGGGCGUAAAGAGCGUGUAGGCGGCCAGGUAGGUCAGCUGUGAAAACUCGAGGCUCAACCUCGAGACGCCGGUUGAAACCAUCUGGCUAGAGUCCGGAAGAGGAGAGUGGAAUUCCUGGUGUAGCGGUGAAAUGCGCAGAUAUCUGGAGGAACACCGGUGGCGAAGGCGACAUCCUGGACCAACACUGACGCUGAGUGACGCGAAAAGCCAGGGGAGCAAACGGG
rnacentral:rRNA from 1 species